CACGUAGUUAGCCGGGGCUUCUUAGUCAGGUACCGUCAUUUUCUUCCCUGCUGAUAGGGCUUUACAUACCGAAGUACUUCCUCACCCACGCGGCGUCGCUGCAUCACGGGUUCCCCCCAUUGUGCAAUAUUCCCCACUGCUGCCUCCCGUAGGAGUCUGGGCCGUGUCUCAGUCCCAAUGUGGCCGUCCACCCUCUCAGGCCGGCUAUGGAUCGUCGGUUUGGUGGGCCGUUACCCCGCCAACUGCCUAAUCCAACGCGGACCCAUCCUAUGCCGCCUCAGCUUUUCACACUGUACCAUGCGGUACUGUGCGCUUAUGCGGUAUUAGCACCCGUUUCCGGAUGUUAUCCCCCUGCAUAGGGCAGGUUGUCCACGCGUUACUCACCCGUCCGCCGCUAAGCCACACCUUCUUCCUCCGAAGGAUUCCAAUGAUGUGCUCCGCUCGACUUGCAUGUGUUAAGCACGCCGCCAGCGUUCAUCCUGAGCCAGGAUCAAACUCUA
rnacentral:rRNA from 1 species